rnacentral:misc_RNA from 1 species
GAUGAAGAACGUAGCAAAAUGCGAUAAGUAAUGUGAAUUGCAGAAUUCAGUGAAUCAUCGAAUCUUUGAACGCACAUUGCGCCCGCCAGUAUUCUGGCGGGCAUGCCUGUUCGAGCGUCAUUUCAACCCUCAAGCCCUCGGGUUUGGUGUUGGGGAUCGGCGAGCCUUUCUGGCAAGCCGGCCCCGAAAUCUAGUGGCGGUCUCGCUGCAGCCUCCAUUGCGUAGUAGUAAAACCCUCGCAACUGGAACGCGGCGCGGCCAAGCCGUUAAACCCCCAACUUCUGAAUGUUGACCUCGGAUCAGGUAGGAAUACCCGCUGAACUUAAGCAUAUCAUAAGCGGAGA